rnacentral:miRNA from 1 species
CAACAAAUCACAGUCUGCCAAA